UUGAGGAGUUAACAGAUGAAGAGGUGAAGAAAUAUUGGGCAUCUGUUUAUAGAGCUGAAGAAUCCAACACUGUUUCUGAAAAUGUAGAGUCCUCUUUGAAAAUUGAGUUCCUUGAUGAUAGUGAGGACUUGGAAGAAUCUUCAUACUCUUCUGUGGAGGAAACUGGAAAUAUGGGGAUGAAUAAGCAAGGAAAAACUGAGCCACUGGAGUGUGGAAGAAAUCCUGUUUCUCCUAAAGAAAUUUCUCAAGAAAAACUGAUUGUCUGCAGUGAUCUGGAAAUCAAUGCAGUGCAGGAGGAGAGUGUCGAACCAAAGGCUGGGAGAAGAUCCCUGAGCUCCUGUGAACUUCCUGAGCUCUCUGAGCCCACUGAAGGAGUGAGCAAAGAUCUCACUGGGGCUGAACUGAAGAGCAGCAGAGAUCUCCAGGAGUCAGAGCUGCAGGAGGGCAGGAGAGAGCCACAGGAGCUGGGAAAUGUCUGCAGCACUCAGAGCUUGGUCUUGCCUGUAGUGACAAAAUCUUCAGCAGUAAGUUAUGAUGUCUUAAAUUGCCAAAUGGAUUAAGGAUGUUGCUUUAUCUGCUUUAGGUUUAGGGGAUUGUCACUGC
rnacentral:lncRNA from 1 species